UACGAAGGGGGGCUAGCGUUGCUCGGAAUCACUGGGCGUAAAGCGCACGUAGGCGGAUCUUUAAGUCAGGGGUGAAAUCCUGGAGCUCAACUCCAGAACUGCCUUUGAUACUGGGGAUCUCGAGUCCGGAAGAGGUGAGUGGAACUCCGAGUGUAGAGGUGAAAUUCGUAGAUAUUCGGAAGAACACCAGUGGCGAAGGCGGCUCACUGGUCCGGUACUGACGCUGAGGUGCGAAAGCGUGGGGAGCGAACAGG
rnacentral:rRNA from 1 species